rnacentral:rRNA from 1 species
GACCUGCGGAGGGAUCAUUACCCAAUAUGAAGGCGGGCUGGAAACCCCUAGCUGGGCACUGCUUCACGGCGUGCGCGGUUUAGGCCGGCUCUGCUGAAUUAUUUCACCCGUGUCUUUUGCGUACUACUUGUUUCCUGGGCAGGCUUGCCUGCCCUCAGGACCAACCAAUAAACCUUUUGUAAUAGCAAUCAGCGUCAGUAACAAUGUAAUCAAUUACAACUUUCAACAACGGAUCUCUUGGUUCUGGCAUCGAUGAAGAACGCAGCGAAAUGCGAUACGUAGUGUGAAUUGCAGAAUUCAGUGAAUCAUCGAAUCUUUGAACGCACAUUGCGCCCUUUGGUAUUCCAAAGGGCAUGCCUGUUCGAGCGUCAUUUGUACCCUCAAGCUUUGCUUGGUGUUGGGCGUCUUUUGUCUCCAGCUUGCUGGAGACUCGCCUUAAAGUCAUUGGCAGCCGGCCUACUGGUUUCGGAGCGCAGCACAAGUCGCGCUCUAGCCCAGCCAAGGUCAGCGUCCAGUAAGCCUUUUUUCAACCUUUGACCUCGGAUCAGGUAGGGAUACCCGCUGAACUUAAGCAUAUCAAUAAGCGGAGGAAAAGAAACCAACAGGGAUUGCCCUAGUAACGGCGAGUGAAGCGGCAACAGCUCAAUUUGAAAUCUGGCUCUUUCAGGGUCCGAGUUGUAAUUUGCAGAGGGCGCUUUGGCUUUGGCAGCGGUCCAAGUUCCUUGGAACAGGACGUCACAGAGGGUGAGAAUCCCGUACGUGGUCGCUGGCUA